UGCUUUUUUUCUUUGACGGCUUAUUUCUUGGCAUUAGUCAGAUAAAGGAAUAAAAUGCAACUAUGGAACUUGGACACAUGCCCAGCGGUUAUUGUGAAAACCACCCAAUCAAACAGCAUCAGCAGUGACCAGAUUUUCCUUGGGUUUCAGGAUAUUCAGGGUGAAUGGAGGCCUAGUGAGAAUGAUUAAUGAUUGUAUGAUUAAAGGAGGAAUUGAUUUCCAUGA